CGUGUGCUGGAGGGGUGGGCACAUGGUUGAGUUCAAUGACUAAUGAAUUAAUUCUCUCCUUUCCCCCUGCAGCCUGUUGGGAGACCUGGCCUCCAGUGACGUUGCGGUGGAGCUGCCCUUCACUUUGAUGCACCCCAAACCCCGAGAGGAGCCGACGCACCGUGACGUUCCAGAGAACGAAGCUCCCAUAGACACGAACCCUGAUAGAGCUCGACACAAAUGACGACGACAUCGUGUUCGAGGACUUUGCCCGGCAGCGGCUCAAGGGGAUGAAGGACGACAAGGAGGAUGAGGAGGAAGAACCAGCUCCCCCAUGCUCAAACGACAGAUAAAGCCCAUGGCACAGCA